AGCUGCCGCGGCCCGGCCCCGGCCCUCAGCGCCGCCCGGGUCCCCCCUCAGCACCUCGGGUGGGGGGGUCUGUUCCCCUGAGCCCACCGUCAUUUCUUUAAAAAUUAUUCUCUCGCAGUUCAAACGUGAUUAAAAUCACUUAAAAAAUCGCUUUUUUUUUUUUUUUUUUCACGAGCUGGAGGUGAAAAUGAGGCGUAUUAGCGUAAGAAAAAGUAAGAAAAUGAGAAUUAAAUGAGCAUCCAAAAUUUAAGUCGUGAAACUCGAUUUGCACCGAGUGAACGUGCUGUAAAAGCUGGGAUGUUCUGGAUCAGUCGGUGCUGCCAGGUGGGGGCAAACAGAAGCUCGCCGUGGCCCCCCCACUCCGAUGGAUGGAGAUUUCAGCCAGGACAUCUGCACAUGUAGACCCUGGGAAGUCAAAACUCUGCACCAAGCGCUUCCUUGUGAAGACUGCGAACCUUUGAGCCAGCGUUUGCCAUUCAGCCCUUGCCAGAGUGCUUUCUGACUGGAGAGAGGG